rnacentral:lncRNA from 1 species
AUAUAUAUAUAUAUAUAUAUAGAGUUGAGCUGGAAUACUAUCGGUAGCAAACCGGCUCCGUUGCCACCCAUUUAUUUUUAAUGAUGGAGCUCUCGAAUUGACGAUUAGCAUCGUUGAAUAUGAUCUAUACCACUUGAAGUAUUUAGAAACCAAAUUUCAAAUCUUUUCGAUACCAUUGACCUAAUGAUCAAAGGGUUUCAAAUUUUAUAAUUUUAAUGGUAGAUAUGAGGUGUUUUCAUGUUUAACGGUGUAAAGCUAUCCAAAUCAAUUGAAUUUUAGUUAGAAAAUUCUUUAAACUAUUUAGAACAAGAUCUAUACUCUCGAUCUUGAUUAUAAAAUUUCUAUCAUCACUUUUUAGAAGAUAUUCAUUUUCAGCCGUUUAUUUUUACGCCAACUUGAUAGACAAGAGAAUAAUAUUGGAAAAGUAUGAAAUUUGAUUUCUAGAUAAUUUAAGCGGUAUAGAUCAUAUUCAACGGUGCCGAUUGUCGAUUCGAAGGCUCCAUCAUUGAAAACAAAUGGGUGGCAACGGAGCCGGUUUGCUACUGAUAGUAUUUCAACUCAACUAUAUAUAUAUAUAUAUAUAUAGAGAGAGAGAGAGAGAGAGAG